UUAUUACUCCCUCCGUCUCAAAAUUAUUGUUUUGAAUUUGUCUAGAUAUGGAUGUAUCUAGUUACAUUUUAGUAUUUAAAUGCAUCCAUAUCUAAAAACAUCUAAGACAAGAAUUUUGGGACGGAGGGAGUAUCUG
rnacentral:pre_miRNA from 1 species